UGAAGAAUUUGUCCAACGGCGGGGGAUAGCCGGCCCAACGGCCGGGUAAUACCGCGUACGACCCUCGGGGGGCAUCCCCUGAAGGUGAAAGCCGCAAGGCGCCGAUGGAGAACUUCGCGGCCUAUCAGCUAGUUGGUGAGGUCAUGGCUCACCAAGGCGACGACGGGUAGCUGGUCUGAGAGGACGACCAGCCACACUGGAACUGAGACACGGCCCAGACUCCUACGGGAGGCAG
rnacentral:rRNA from 1 species